GAUGAACGCUGGCGGCGUGCUUAACACAUGCAAGUCGGACGGGAUCCAUCAGGCUUUGCUUGGUGGUGAGAGUGGCGAACGGGUGAGUAAUGCGUGACCGACCUGCCCCAUACACCGGAAUAGCUCCUGGAAACGGGUGGUAAUGCCGGAUGCUCCGACUCCUCGCAUGGGGUGUCGGGAAAGAUUUCAUCGGUAUGGGAUGGGGUCGCGUCCUAUCAGGUAGUCGGCGGGGUAACGGCCCACCGAGCCUACGACGGGUAGCCGGCCUGAGAGGGCGACCGGCCACAUUGGGACUGAGAUACGGCCCAGACUCCUACGGGAGGCAGCAGUGGGGAAUAUUGCACAAUGGGCGCAAGCCUGAUGCAGCGACGCCGCGUGCGGGAUGACGGCCUUCGGGUUGUAAACCGCUUUUGAUCGGGAGCAAGCCUUCGGGUGAGUGUACCUUUCGAAUAAGCACCGGCUAACUACGUGCCAGCCGCCGCUGUAA
rnacentral:rRNA from 1 species